rnacentral:rRNA from 1 species
UGGGGAAUAUUGGACAAUGGGGGGAACCCUGAUCCAGCCAUGCCGCGUGUGUGAAGAAGGCCUUAUGGUUGUAAAGCACUUUAAGCGAGGAGGAGGCUCUCUUGGUUAAUACCCAAGAAGAGUGGACGUUACUCGCAGAAUAAGCACCGGCUAACUCUGUGCCAGCAGCCGCGGUAAUACAGAGGGUGCGAGCGUUAAUCGGAUUUACUGGGCGUAAAGCGUGCGUAGGCGGCUUUUUAAGUCGGAUGUGAAAUCCCCGAGCUUAACUUGGGAAUUGCAUUCGAUACUGGGAAGCUAGAGUAUGGGAGAGGAUGGUAGAAUUCCAGGUGUAGCGGUGAAAUGCGUAGAGAUCUGGAGGAAUACCGAUGGCGAAGGCAGCCAUCUGGCCUAAUACUGACGCUGAGGUACGAAAGCAUGGGGGGCAAACAGG